GCCAGGGUGGCGUAGUGGUUAGCACAUCUGCCUAACGAGCAGAAGACUCGGGUUAGAACCCCAACCUUGGUA